GUCAAGAUAUAAGGGGGAAAGGUGCAGGCAGUUUCUAUCCAGAUUACCUAGAAAAGAACGGGGAGGGGAAGCUGCAAGACAGCUGAAUCAGGGUGAGAACUCUCUGCUCAAGGAGAUUGCCUGCGUGCUCCACUGAAAGCAACAAGGAGAAGCAUCACUGUGUGGUUGCAGCCCAGGGGGAGGAAACUUCAAACAAAGAAAUGGGUGCUUCCCAGAAUGUGUUCUUGUGGUUUAUCAGACCCAGAUUUGAGGACAAGCUGGAAGAUGCCCUAUUACCUCACAGUCAGCCUCCCUCCCAGCUGCCCAUUUGACGAUCAAGUUUGCAUGCAUACUACAUAUUCCAGUAAGAGUAUGAAAUAAAGUUACACCCAAGACAUUUGCCCGUGGGAUGCCCCAUCAGAAUGGGUUGUGGAUGAGUAAUGGAGACCUCCCUGGUUCUGCGAGAACCUCUGUUCCAUUUGGUCUAGGGUGUCUCAAAGUUGCACAGAUACACAGCAUUCUUCCAUCCAUUCCCCUGGGGCCAACAACUUAUUGCCUAAACCAGAGUUGAUCUACUCAAAAUGCAUAGCUCAAUGAUGACUCACAGAGAGUGCUCCGAGUGUGCUGUCACUCAAGGGCUUUGCACCACGUAAUGUUUCUCAUAUGGCCAUCAAGACAAAAUCCUCAUCCUCUAUCCUGCAAAUCACGUCAUUCACAUCAGUUCCAGUUUUCAAGCCACGGGAGACCAACCAUCCUGCUCCUUCCAGCAAAUUCCGCCCAGUCACUAAUUAUGAAAGAAAAAGAAAGUUUGCCAACAAAGAAAUUAAUGAAGAAGAUUCAUCAUUGCCAAUUGACUUUACUACUAAGUUAAUGGGAAAAAUAUGAGCAAGGAGAGCCACCCAAGAGGAGAACAUUGCCCAUAUGCACAAAGGAGCUUUAUUCCAGAAGACACGUUUAGAAAUUUGACAUUCAACUUGCUUAAUCUAAUUUAAAAAUAUGAAAGUGAUUGGUGAUAAAUAAAACUCAAC